UACGUAGGGAGCGAGCGUUGUCCGGAUUUACUGGGUGUAAAGGGUGCGUAGGCGGCUUUGCAAGUCAGUAGUGAAAUCCAUGGGCUUAACCCAUGAACUGCUAUUGAAACUGUAGAGCUUGAGUGAAGUAGAGGUAGGCGGAAUUCCCGGUGUAGCGGUGAAAUGCGUAGAGAUCGGGAGGAACACCAGUGGCGAAGGCGGCCUACUGGGCUUUAACUGACGCUGAGGCACGAAAGCGUGGGUAGCAAACAGG
rnacentral:rRNA from 1 species